rnacentral:lncRNA from 1 species
CCAAGGCUUGAAAGCACCACACAUGUGCCAAUAAAGUAUUAUGUCACGAGGGUGCUCUAACUUUCAAGGUCUGUCUGCCCAAAGGGGAUAAGCUUCUAAAUGCUAGGAUAUUGCUUAUUAUGGCUUCAUGUGAAGAAUACUUAUGCAUAUUGCAUAUUCUAUCCAAAGGGGAAUAUGCGAUAUUGUGUUUGGGCUCUUGUUUAUAGCUUAUCU